ensembl:misc_RNA Y_RNA Y RNA
GGCUGCAUCUGAAGGUGAUGAGUUAUCUCUGUUAUAACAGAGUCAGUUACACAUAAAACUCGUUCUCCUCUUUCCCCUCUUCUCACUACUCCACUUGACUAGUCUAAA